CGGUAAUACGUAGGGGGCAAGCGUUAUCCGGAAUUAUUGGGCGUAAAGGGUUCGCAGGCGGUUACACCUGUCGGGUGUGAAAGACCGAGGCUCAACCUCGGUAAGCACUUGAAACAGUGUAACUUGAGUUAAGGAGAGGAAAGUGGAAUUCCUAGUGUAGCGGUGAAAUGCGUAGAUAUUAGGAGGAAUACCAGUGGCGAAGGCGACUUUCUGGCCUUAAACUGACGCUGAGGAACGAAAGCGUGGGGAGCAAACAGGAUUAGAUACCNUGGUAGUCCCACGCCGUAAACGAUGAGUACUANGUGUCAGGUGUCAAAGCUUGGUGCCGCAGUUAACACAUUAANUACUCCGCCUGGGGAGUACNCUCGCAAGANUGAACUCAAGGAAUUGACGGGGACCCCACAAUUANCGAACAUGUGGUUUAUUC
rnacentral:rRNA from 1 species